rnacentral:rRNA from 1 species
CGAACGCUGGCGGCAGGCCUAACACAUGCAAGUCGAACGGACCCUUCGGGGUUAGUGGCGGACGGGUGAGUAACACGUGGGAACGUGCCUUUAGGUUCGGAAUAGCUCCUGGAAACGGGUGGUAAUGCCGAAUGUGCCCUUCGGGGGAAGAUUUAUCGCCUUUAGAGCGGCCCGCGUCUGAUUAGCUAGUUGGUGAGGUAAUGGCUCACCAAGGCGACGAUCAGUAGCUGGUCUGAGAGGAUGUCCAGCCACAUUGGGACUGAGACACGGCCCAAACUCCUACGGGAGGCAGCAGUGGGGAAUCUUGCGCAAUGGGCGAAAGCCUGACGCAGCCAUGCCGCGUGAAUGAUGAAGGUCUUAGGAUUGUAAAAUUCUUUCACCGGGGACGAUAAUGACGGUACCCGGAGAAGAAGCCCCGGCUAACUUCGUGCCAGCAG